rnacentral:lncRNA from 1 species
UUUAUUAUUCUAUUUUUCCUCAUUCUUUCAUUUAUCAGCACCUUUUCCAAUUAGCUUAUUUUCUUAAACUAGGUGGGGAGUAUUAGUCAUUCCUUCCACAUACUUCUCUUUUUUUUUAUUUUUUUUUAUAUGUGUUACGCACCCCUAUUAUAGCCACCCUUAACUCAAGCGAAAAGUCUUCAUUAAGGUGCACAUUUUCAAACUGGAACAGGGCCAAUAUAGG